rnacentral:rRNA from 1 species
AACGCGAAGAACCUUACCUGGGUUUGACAUCCCCUGACAGCUCUAGAGAUAGAGUUUUCUCUUCGGAGACAGGGAGACAGGUGCUGCAUGGCUGUCGUCAGCUCGUAUCGUGAGAUGUCGGGUUAAGUCCCUUAACGAGCGCAACCCUUGUCCCUAGUUGCCACCAUUUAGUUGGGCACUCUAGGGAGACUGCCGGUGUUAAACCGGAGGAAGGUGGGGAUGACGUCAAGUCCUCAUGGCCCUUAUGUCCAGGGCGACACACGUGCUACAAUGGCCGGUACAAAGGGUUGCUAACUCGCGAGGGGGAGCUAAUCUCAGAAAGCCGGUCUCAGUUCGGAUUGAAGUCUGCAACUCGACUUCAUGAAGCUGGAAUCGCUAGUAAUCGCGGAUCAGAACGCCGCGGUGAAUACGUUCCCGGGCCUUGUACACACCGAGUAUA